rnacentral:rRNA from 1 species
UACGAAGGGGGCUAGCGUUGCUCGGAAUCAUUGGGCGUAAAGGGCGCGUAGGCGGCGGGGUAAGUCUGGUGUGAAAUCUCGGAGCUCAACUCCGAAAUUGCACUGGAUACUGCUCUGCUAGAGGGCUGGAGAGGAGAUCGGAAUUCACGGUGUAGCAGUGAAAUGCGUAGAUAUCGUGAGGAAGACCAGUGGCGAAGGCGGAUCUCUGGACAGCUCCUGACGCUGAGGCGCGAAGGCUAGGGGAGCAAACGAG